rnacentral:lncRNA from 1 species
AAAGGAAGAAAAAGAGAGAGAGAGAGAGAGAGAGAGAGAGAGAGCUUGAAGGGGGCUGCUUGAUCCUUCAAGUUUAGGCUUGAUUUGCAAGUGAAAUUGGUGAUAAAAAAUAUUUUCCAAGCUUUAAUUUCAUCCUAGAAGCCUUUGGUGAUUGAUUUGGUAAGUAAUUUUAAUGUUUUGAUUGAUUUAUUUGAGUUCUUGAUCAGCUUGGAUUAUGACAUAUAUGGUUUUAUUUGAAUUCUUAUUGAACUAUAAAUGUGUUAACAUUGUUUUGACGGAUUAAUUAUUAGAAAUGAUAUUUGGUUUGUGUAUUACCACCCUAUAUGAGAUGUAUGUAUGUGCUGAGGUGAUAUAUGCACAUUUGAGAUUGUAUUGGUUGUUAUUGCACAAUAAACAAUGGGGCACUUGAUGUAAGGACGGUGAAAGGAGA